CUGCAGGCUUAAAUAACCAUAAAAGUAAUGUUUGUUUAGAAAGUGACUGGUUUGUUUACCUUCACUGCUGCAGAAAAUCUCACUAGGCAAUUUGCCUGGGGCUGAUACUUGUAACCAUUAGCAAUUAUGGAUUCUAGAAAGACGUUGAUAGGAAGUUUUUAAAAAGCUAUUUCAAAAUCGGACACAAAAAAUACAACACAUUUUCUAGGAUUGUUUUUCUUGCCAUUCAUGCUGCUUGCCUUUCUUAUCUUAACUAAAAUUCACUUUUCAUCAGCCUGCAAUGAGUCACAAAAAAUGCUGUAUCAAUCUUGGGUUGUUCCUGGACAUUCAUAGUCAGAUAAAUUAUUUUCAGAAUCAGCAAAGCAGAAUUAUUUUUAUAAAAUGGUGUCUUUACACAUCAUUGAUGUUUUGCAGAGGUCUGGACAAAACGCCAGUGAUGUACUUUUAAUUGCCAAGGGAUCCACUUACACAAAGGAGACAUGGGCACACCAUUCUACCGUCAGGGCACUCAUCAUUUGACUUAUGUAUUGGACUUUAGGGGAAACACAAAGAGGAUGCCUGGGACACUGUUCUCAUCCUCUAAAGUCUUUACUAAUAAUAUGUCAAAGUUGAGUAAUAAUACACACUAAGUAAAAGCUUUUCAACAGAAGCAUCUCCAUUAAUCUCCACUUUGGGCCAGACAGCAAACUGAGCCUCUGUUUCUAUUAAAUACAAACUGAUCUGAAAUAUUUAGAACAAAGAAAGCACAUCCUUUCAGCUAAAAGUUAUAGAUAUCCUUUGCUACAUGACAAAUGGUUAAAAUUAUCAAAUAUUUAUAACAAUAUGAUUGAAGAGUUCAGUUACAGGCUUUGAUUUUGACUGUUUGCUUGUUGAUGAGUGUUGUGCAGAAAUGCCCAAUAUGUUUGAAUUGCUUCACUUUGAGCAUGAUUUGUGCCAGAAAUAGUGCUGAUUAAGCUGUUUUUUUUUUCCUUUUUCUUACACAUUUAAAAAUCACUCUUUAUUUUCCAAAGACCUCUUGGUCAGAAACUUGCAUUCAAGAAUUUUGCUAUGCCAUAAUAUAAUAAAAUGUAUCAAGGCAGAAAAUAAAAUAAGCAGAUGAUUUAUGCAUAAGACGUUUUGCCUUUAAGCUAUUCAAACCUGACUUUAGUGAAGUUUAUUAUCAAAAGUUUCUCACCUGAUAACAUAAAUUUUGACAGAAUGGAAAUGUUAGUUUUAGCCAAUAAACAUACAGCCUUUAAUCAUCCCAAAAUUUUCACCUAGGAAAGAAACUGGAAAUAGUUCUUAAG
rnacentral:lncRNA from 1 species